rnacentral:rRNA from 1 species
CCUACGGGAGGCAGCAGUAAGGAAUAUUGGUCAAUGGACGCAAGUCUGAACCAGCCAUGCCGCGUGAAGGAUUAAGGUCCUCUGGAUUGUAAACUUCUUUUAUUUGGGACGAAAAAGGGCCUUUCUAGGUCAACUGACGGUACCAGAUGAAUAAGCACCGGCUAACUCCGUGCCAGCAGCCGCGGUAAUACGGAGGGUGCAAGCGUUAUCCGGAUUCACUGGGUUUAAAGGGUGCGUAGGCGGGUAGGUAAGUCAGUGGUGAAAUCCUGGAGCUCAACUCCAGAACUGCCAUUGAUACUAUUUAUCUUGAAUAUUGUGGAGGUAAGCGGAAUAUGUCAUGUAGCGGUGAAAUGCUUAGAUAUGACAUAGAACACCUAUUGCGAAGGCAGCUUACUACGCAUAUAUUGACGCUGAGGCACGAAAGCGUGGGGAUCAAACAGGAUUAGAUACCCUGGUAGUCCACGCCCUAAACCUAUGAUUACUCGACAUUUGUGAUACACAAUAAGUGUNUGNGNGAAGANAUAAGUAAUACACCNGGAGUACGUCCGCGAGAGAGAACGUACAAUAGAGUAGUACGGACGUGAGACGNGCCGACGGACGACGACGAGGGAGGAGG